rnacentral:lncRNA from 10 species
AAACAAUGGAGGCCCAGUGAGGUAAAACGGUUUGUGCAGAAUUAGAGCUGACUGGCAUCCAUCUCCUGAGGCUCAGGGUUGCCCUUCACAGAGGAAGCAGCGGACAAGUUGAAAACUGGAAAGGUGGCUUCAAGCUAAGCGCAAACAAUACAGUGUUCAAUGUGAUGGUGCCCGUGGAAAGCUGGCCACAGUGGCUGGGAUGCCCUCACAGAAUGUGCAUGCAGGGAAGUUCUCGUCUCAACAACACAUGGCCGUAAUUUUGUUUAUACACAUUGUACUGUUGCAGUGUAAGAAUUUUUGAAAUCACAAGUAUAAUUGCAAAAGACAGAGUUAUUUCUAUGAAAAAUGGAUUGGAUGAUUUGGCAAAACCCGGUAGAGGCAAAUGUCUAAGAGUAUUUAUUUAAGUACAUGUGUUCUCAUGCCAUAAACGACUGGGGGAAAAAAACUCAUGAAAAUCAAGAAGGAUGCUGCACUCAGCUUGCUUAUGUUCUUCAAGUUCUGCUCCACUUAAAAACACCAAAAUUAGAAAUCAUAGAUCGUGGGUGUGAUUUCUGCAGGAACUCAGAUCAGUUCAACCCUAAUCAAAGAACACAGGGUGGAGCUAUCUCAAAGUACUGAUGAAUGAGCAUUUAUAUAUUUAAUAUAAAAUAAAAUGUUCAAGGCAUGUGUGUAUCAUUUUUAAUAAUUGUCCUGUUUUACUCUCUAUUUUUGUGAAUUUAUCUUUUCAAUUAACCAGUUGCUCCUGAUCCCAAUUGACUAACGAAGACAUUCUAUUGAAGGUGAUUUUUCAUUUUACCUUUUAUGUGUUAGUAUUUUACAGUAUGUCUUUUACCAUAUGUCCUUUAUUUGGUAAGUUCCGGUUUUUAUUUUACACUGUUUUAUAAUAAAUGCGUUGUGCACUUCUGUCACCUUUUUUUCCCUGGUGGACUCUAGACACAAGGGUGAUUGCCUAAUUAUACUGUGCUGCUUAUAAGAAGCAGAUUAGUUAAGUGGCUUCUUAGAUGAACAGUGCAAAGUGCCACAUGAAAGCUGGAGGAAAAAUAUCCCCAAGAACAAAAGAGCUUUAAAAUGUUGUUUUAUUUUUUAAAAUUCCGGUGUCUGAGAAAACAUCAUUUCUUCAAAAUUAAGUGACUCUAUUUUCUAAGAACUCUUAAGUAGGAGCGAAGAUGAGAACUGAAUAAAUGUGAUGUGCUUCUCUCUUGGCCUCUAGGUAAUAAAUUCUGCACUAUACAGAUUACACUAGACGUGAAUCUGUUUCUUGUUUUAUGCUGAGAGCAAGAUCACUAAGACAU